UGUUCCUUGAAGUGUUGCCCACAAAACUGAU
rnacentral:piRNA from 1 species